rnacentral:rRNA from 1 species
UGGGGAAUCUUGGACAAUGGGGGAAACCCUGAUCCAGCCAUGCCGCGUGAGUGAUGAAGGCCUUAGGGUCGUAAAGCUCUUUCGCCUGGGAAGAUAAUGACGGUACCAGGUAAAGAAACCCCGGCUAACUCCGUGCCAGCAGCCGCGGUAAUACGGAGGGGGUUAGCGUUGUUCGGAAUUACUGGGCGUAAAGCGCACGUAGGCGGACCAUUAAGUCAGGGGUGAAAUCCCGGGGCUCAACCCCGGAACUGCCUUUGAUACUGGUGGUCUAGAGGACGAGAGAGGUGAGUGGAAUUCCGAGUGUAGAGGUGAAAUUCGUAGAUAUUCGGAGGAACACCAGUGGCGAAGGCGGCUCACUGGCUCGACCCUGACGCUGAGGUGCGAAAGUGUGGGGAGCAAACAGGAUUAGAUACCCCCGUAGUCC